CUACGCACUCCUACGGGAGGCAGCAGUGGGGAAUAUUGCACAAUGGGCGCAAGCCUGAUGCAGCCAUGCCGCGUGUAUGAAGAAGGCCUUCGGGUUGUAAAGUACUUUCAGCAGUGAGGAAGGUGGGUAUGUUAAUAGCAUACUCAUUUGACGUUAGCUGCAGAAGAAGCACCGGCUAACUCCGUGCCAGCAGCCGCGGUAAUACGGAGGGUGCGAGCGUUAAUCGGAAUUACUGGGCGUAAAGCGCAUGCAGGUGGUUUGUUAAGUCAGAUGUGAAAGCCCGGGGCUCAACCUCGGAAUUGCAUUUGAAACUGGCAAACUAGAGUACUGUAGAGGGGGUAGAAUUUCAGGUGUAGCGGUGAAAUGCGUAGAGAUCUGAAGGAAUACCGGUGGCGAAGGCGGCCCCCUGGACAGAUACUGACACUCAGAUGCGAAAGCGUGGGGAGCAAACAGGAUUAGAUACCCUCGUAG
rnacentral:rRNA from 1 species